UACGUAGGGUGCAAGCGUUGUCCGGAAUUAUUGGGCGUAAAGGGUGCGUAGGCGGUUCGGUAAGUUUCGUGUGAAAUCUUCGGGCUCAACUCGAAGCCUGCACGAGAUACUGCCGGGCUUGAGUGUGGGAGAGGUGAGUGGAAUUUCCGGUGUAGCGGUGAAAUGCGUAGAUAUCGGAAGGAACACCUGUGGCGAAAGCGGCUCACUGGACCACAACUGACGCUGAGGCACGAAAGCUAGGGGAGCAAACAGG
rnacentral:rRNA from 1 species